UCGACCAAUCCAAUGUGGAGGAGCCGUGGGCGGGGCGGGCUCGGCUCCCAGGGCAGCGUGAAAAAUUUCCCGAGGCAGAGCGAAAACUCUUCCUGAGCGACUGAGCAUGUCCGGUGGCCAAAGAGGCGCGUUGGAUGCGAGUUAACGGCGAAGGAGACGUUGGGGCAGUUGAGGGAAAUUUAGAGGUUAUGUGAUGUCAAAAUGGGACCGCAUACUAUUAGGCAGCCUUGGAAUGGCAGCUAGCCCCGCCACUAUCUCGCCGUGUGACCUUGGGCGUGUUACUUAAACACUGAACUGUGUGUCUCCGGUAAAAUGGGGUUAGUAAAGUCCUCCACUGUGGUUCCUAAGGACUAAAAGAGAGAACGUGGAAAACGACUCACGUUGCACAUGGUAGCCACGCAACAUCUGCUCAGGGGACUUUCAGAAUUGCUGUGGACAAGUGACCUCUGUGUGCCUCUUAUUCUUCCACCCUCUGAAUGGGAGUGUUUGUUUCAGCUAUCCUGCUUUGCCAUGCCUCUAGCAUGAUGCCCCCCUGGAAGGUUGUUCCUUCAGUAGAUCCUGGAGCCAAGAGAACAUGGAGCAGAGCUGCACCUGCCCUUAAAGGAUAUGCACACACACCAGAAAUGGACCACGAGUGCUAUGAGAAAAGGGAGGCCUGGUGAUGUGACACAACUGACUAGAAGUUGCUUAGUAGGAACAAAGUGGCAGAACCAGGGUCCCUACCUAGUUCUGCCUCACUGAAAACCUAUGCUCUUCUGUUGGGAAAGCUAAGUGAAAGCAUGCCCAACAUCAUUCAUCAUUAGAGAAAUACAAAUCAAAACCACAAUAAGAUGCCACUUCACACCCA